GAUGAACGCUAGCUACAGGCUUAACACAUGCAAGUCGAGGGACCGGCGCACGGGUGAGUAACGCGUAUCCAACCUUCCCAUUACUGUGGGAUAACCUGCCAAAACGCAGACUAAUACCGCAUAGUAAUGGAUGGGGAUGAGUCUGAUUAGCUUGUUGGCGGGGUAACGGCCAACCCAGUCGACGAUCAGUAGGGGUUCUGAGAGGAAGGUCCCACUCAUUGGAACUGAGACACGGUCCAAACUCGUACGGGAGGCAGCAGUGAGGAGUAUUGUUCAAUGGACGGAAUGCUGAACCAUCCAAGUAGCGUGCAGGAUGACGGCCUAUGGGUAGUAAACUGCUUUUGUAUGGGGAUAGGUACCACACGAAUAAGGACCGGCUAAUUCCGUGCCAGCAGCCGCGGUAAUAC
rnacentral:rRNA from 1 species